UGGGGAAUAUUGCACAAUGGGGGAAACCCUGAUGCAGCCAUGCCGCGUGUGUGAAGAAGGCCUUCGGGUUGUAAAGCACUUUCAGCGAGGAGGAAAGGUUGAUGCCUAAUACGUAUCAACUGUGACGUUACUCGCAGAAGAAGCACCGGCUAACUCCGUGCCAGCAGCCGCGGUAAUACGGAGGGUGCAAGCGUUAAUCGGAAUUACUGGGCGUAAAGCGCACGCAGGCGGUUGGAUAAGUUAGAUGUGAAAGCCCCGGGCUCAACCUGGGAAUUGCAUUUAAAACCGUCCAGCUAGAGUCUUGUAGAGGGGGGUAGAAUUCCAGGUGUAGCGGUGAAAUGCGUAGAGAUCUGGAGGAAUACCGGUGGCGAAGGCGGCCCCCUGGACAAAGACUGACGCUCAGGUGCGAAAGCGUGGGGAGCAAACA
rnacentral:rRNA from 1 species